GGUUCCGUGGUGUAGUGGUUAACAUGCCUGCCUGUCACGCAGGAGAUCGCGGGUUCGAGUCCCGUCGGGACCG
rnacentral:tRNA from 7 species